rnacentral:lncRNA from 1 species
GUAAAUUGGUAUUGAUUUUAAAACAAAAUUGUUAAAAUAAUUAUUAUUUAUUAUGGAAUCAUUCUUGGUUGUCAUGGGUGGCUCUGAAAACCUAAGUCGUUGGGAAGGACCAUCCUAGGCUAAAUUACGUGCAAAAAUUGGGCUUUUCUUUCUCCACUUUUAACAAAUAUUAACUGAUCUGCUACGGUUGGUGGAUAUUGUUAAAUUUUCCUCUUGAAAGUGGUUUUUAUGAAAACAUUGUGGUCACCCUUGUUCCUUCUAUAAUUGGGAUCAUGAACACAUUCUAUGUUGACACCGUUAGUGACUUAUGGUAGAUUUGUCUUGGAUUGGUUGACUGAUGGGUUAUGUUCCUAGUCUUGCUCUUGUUCGGUUGUGGUUAGGGCUGGAAAUGUAUCGAAUCGUGUCGAACUUGUCUGAGCUCGACUCAACUCUUUAAGAAAUAGUUCGGCUCGAAACUCGACUCGAAUUCGAUAUGAACUAUUUUUUGGCUUAAGUUCGACUCAUUAAAAGUUCAUGAACAACUCAGUUCGACUCGUUAGGUUCGGUUAAAUUCAACUCAUUUGGUUCAUUAACCAAGUUCGACGAACUAAAAGUCGAGUCGAACUCUAAACUUUAGCCUGUGGUUGAGGGUUCUUGAUAGGAGUUUAGUUGGUUUUCCGUUGGUGUUUUAGUUCUUACUUUUGUUUUUCUGUGGGUGGGAUUCUAUGUUUUUUAUUAUUGCUUGAC